GUGGCGGCGGCCUCCGGAGUCGCCUGGGAGCGACCCGGAAGGCUAGGGCUUCCCAAGAGGUCAAGUGUCCUUCCCCGAGUUCAAUCUUUUGUUCAUGCUGUUGCUUCUAGAUAACAUGAUAGUUCGAUCUUGGGUGCAUACUGCUGCUUCUGGAUAAGAUGAUAUUCAUUCGUAGUUUUCCUCUUGAAUUUGUCUAUGUGCCCAGGUCUUUUUUUUCUUUCUCAAACAAACAUGAUAUGCGCAUUGAUCAGGUAAAAUUCCAUAUAGGUGGGUUUCAAUUGAUUUUAUCUAAUUUCUAUGAAUUUAGCAUGACCUUUUGAGCUACCAGUCCUGCUGUACAGGAAGCAGCAAGCAUAUAAAGGAUAUUUGUUAUUGUUUUGUUCUCCGUGAAAUUUCCAUGAAUUAUUUUGUUUACAGUGGAAUUCUUUGGUAGUUCCAUUAAUUUCCAAGUGUCCCAACCAUGGACAGGAAGCAGCAGGCAGAGCUCCAUUUGUUUUGAGAUGAAGUUAUAUUUAAUCUUUGGUCUUGUGUUUUCUUUUGUAUAUAUGCUUGUGGAAAUGUUCAAAUAUAGCUGGCCAAGAUAUACAGGAUGAUCAAUUACAUCUUACCUGACCUACUGUCAUGGUGUGUUCUUGCUGCAUUCUGCAGAUGAUUUUGUUGGCUUGUGGUAGUAACCAGAGGACAAAUUGGACAGAGCGGCCAGUUCUCUGGUAACCAAGUUCCUAGCUGCCGCAAUUGAAUCGUCAAGAUAUUUUGGGUGAUGGAAACAAAUAUGGAGUCCAUGUGUGGUGAAUGCAUCUCAUAGAUUGGAUGGAUAAUUGGGGUGGUGGAAACAUAUAUUUAGGUCAUGUGUGGUGAAUGCAUUCGUAGAAUCAUUACAUGGAAGCCUUAUGUUAUUUACAACUUCACGGGUGUUGCUAUGUUCUUGGUCAGCUAUAGAGUUCAUGCUUUCAAUAAUCUUUUUAUUGUAGUGUCCACGCGAUGCAGAUGCAACAACCUAUUGUUUAUUCAUGUUUACAUCUCUAACACAUGGAAUUAUGUA